rnacentral:rRNA from 1 species
UACGUAGGGGGCAAGCGUUGUCCGGAAUCAUUGGGCGUAAAGCGCGUGUAGGCGGCCCGGUAAGUCCGCUGUGAAAGUCCAGGGCUCAACCCUGGAAUGCCGGUGGAUACUGUCGGGCUCGAGUCCGGAAGAGGCGACUGGAAUUCCUGGUGUAGCGGUGAAAUGCGCAGAUAUCAGGAGGAACACCGGUGGCGAAGGCGGGUCUCUGGGCCGAAAUUGACGCUGAGGAGCGAAAGCGUGGGGAGCAAACAGG